rnacentral:rRNA from 1 species
UACAGAGGUCUCAAGCGUUGUUCGGAUUCAUUGGGCGUAAAGGGUGCGUAGGCGGCGCGGUAAGUCGGGUGUGAAAUCUUGGAGCUUAACUCCGAAAUUGCAUUCGAUACUGCCGUGCUUGAGGACUGGAGAGGAGACUGGAAUUCAUGGUGUAGCAGUGAAAUGCGCAGAUAUCAGGAGGAACACCAAUGGCGAAGGCAGCUCGCUGGGACGGUACUGACGCUGGAGACGCGAAAGCGUGGGGAGCAAACAGG